UCUUUUUGUACACUGUUGGUUAUCUGGUUCUUCUCCAGUGAUAUCCACAAUUGUUGAAAAAUCACAUUUGCUUCUACAGUGGAACCACAACUCAACCGCCUUUCAAUCUCAACAACAAAAAGAGGUAAUAGUCAGUCUCUCAAGUAUUGAAUUCUUUCACAUGUGAGAUCUGGUUUUCGAUCUGGUGCUUCUCCUUCUUCUCAUGUCUUCACUUUCCCUUUGUCACAUUCUCUAUCUUGAUUCAUUUCCACAAAGCAAAAUCACAGGCUUGAAAUUGCUUUCCCCUUCUUCUUCGGCUGGUGGGUUGUAUGUACUUAUAUUCCACAACUUUUUUCUAUUCUCGAUCAAAAUUUAAGAUUUUAAUUUUAUCAAAUCGCUCAAAUUAUUUCUGUAAUUUCUUUCUUGCUUUUGGUAUUUACUUUUAUUUAUACAAUCUCUAUUUAUGCGUAAUUAUUUUGCUACAGGUAAAAUGGUCUCCAUUUUGUGUUCCUUUUACCAUCCACUCUCUGCCCUUGAAACCGCCACGCACCCGCUCAAAUAAUACUUUUCAAAACUUGCU
rnacentral:lncRNA from 1 species